AGCCGCAUCACGCAUGCAUAUUCAAAACAUGCACCGAAGCAAGCCUAUGCUGAGAGUCGGAUCAACGACAGCGACAGACUUCAGCUUCACAGUAAUUGUCAAAAUGUCCAGCUUCAGCUGGAAAGGCUUUCUUUCUGGUCAGAUAUUAAGCCUAUAUUUUAGUGGCAGGUCAUGUUAGAUUGUUAAAUUGUUAAUUUAAUCAAAACAAUCACACGGAGAUCAUUUUAAAUCUAAAAACAUGGUAAAAUGCACCAGAAUGCGGGAAA